rnacentral:rRNA from 1 species
UGGGGAAUUUUGCACAAUGGGGGAAACCCUGAUGCAGCGACGCCGCGUGAUUUAGAAGGCCUUCGGGUUGUAAAAAUCUUUUCUCUGGGAAGAAAAUGACAGUACCAUAGGAAUAAGGACCGGCUAAUUACGUGCGAGCAGCCGCGGUAAUACGUAAGGUCCGAGCGUUGUCCGGAAUCAUUGGGCGUAAAGGGUACGUAGGCGGGUAAGCAAGUUAGAAGUGAAAUCCUAUAGCUCAACUAUAGUAAGCUUUUAAAACUGCUCAUCUUGAGGUAUGGAAGGGAAAGUGGAAUUCCUAGUGUAGCGGUGAAAUGCGCAGAUAUUAGGAGGAAUACCGGUGGCGAAAGGGACUUUCUGGCCAUAACCUGACGCUGAGGUACGAAAGCGUGGGUAGCAAACAGG